AUUGAACGCUGGCGGCAUGCCUUACACAUGCAAGUCGAACGGCAGCACGGGUUCUUGCACCUGGUGGCGAGUGGCGAACGGGUGAGUAAUACAUCGGAACGUACCUUAUCGUGGGGGAUAACGCAGCGAAAGCUGUGCUAAUACCGCAUACGCCCUGAGGGGGAAAGCGGGGGAUCGCAAGACCUCGCGCGAUUAGAGCGGCCGAUGCCUGAUUAGCUUGUUGGUGGGGUAAAAGCCCACCAAGGCGACGAGAAGUAGCUGGUCUGAGAGGACGAUAAGCCCAACGGGGGCUGAGACACGGCCCAGACUCCUACGGGAGGCAGCAGUGGGGAAGUUUGGACAAUGGGGGCAACCCUGAUCCAGCAAUGCCGCGUGAGUGAAGAAGGCCUUCGGGUUGUAAAGCUCUUUUGUCAGGGAAGAAACACCGGCUCUAACACAGUCCGGGAAUGACGGUACCUGAAGAAUAAGCACCGGCUAACUACGUGCCAGCCGCCGCGGUAA
rnacentral:rRNA from 1 species